rnacentral:lncRNA from 10 species
UCAGAGAAGUGAAAUUCUCUUCUCAAAGGUGUUGAGAACUGGCCCCGGCAGCCUCCCAAGCUUUAGUAAAAGAAGCAUGAAAUGGCUGUCAGAGAUGAAAUGCCUAUAAAAAUUUGUUAAACUGCAAAGACAGGAACUAUAUCUUUUUAGCUUUUACUCCAUAGCAUUGAACACAAAAAUACUUCUGGGCUGGGACCUUGAGCAGGGUAGCACGGGAGUGAAUUUGAUCCAGGCUACAGAAGGAUUUUGCUGGCUUUCUAAACUAUUGGGUAAAGAAAGCAGGUACAACCCAAGUCACCAGAGCUCAUAAAAGACGUGUGCACUGUCGCAUCUAUGUGAAGUAUUUCCAUGACCCGAGCAUUGACUACAGGACUGUGCUGGAGGAAGCUGGAUCAAGGUACCAAGGGCUUCCACCCCUCAGGCUCGCCUUUUGCUGAUCAUGACACCAGAGAAUCAAUACCAAGAGGAGAAGAAGAUUGA